GCCGAUAUGGUCAUAUCUUCAUUGAGGUCCCUGACCUCAAGUGUGGCUAUGUUGAAGCAAGCCACAAAAUCUCUCAAUGUCUUUGUCUCGCCUUGCUCAAUGGAAAAAAGACUGUCUGAUGUCUGUGGUGCUUUUCGACUGGUGCUGAAGUGAGCCAUGAAAAAAUACUCGAGCUGCUCGAAGGAGUUUAUGCUCUCCGGCUGAAAUCCGAAAUACUAGGCUCGAGUAGCCUUUCGAAUAAUUGUCGAAAAGUCGAUGCAUAAGAAGGCGUCGGUUGCCCCUUGAAUCAUCAUUAGAGCCUUAUAGCUCUCCAAAUAGUCAAUU
rnacentral:lncRNA from 1 species